rnacentral:lncRNA from 1 species
UUAAUGAAACCUCGGAUCUGCUUUGGUUUAGAAACAGGGAGCUCUUAAAGCUGUUGUAGUUUUAAAACCGAAGCUCUUAAAGCCGGUUUUCUUUGAGAUCGGAGCUCUUAAAGCCGGUUUCCUUUAAACCCGGAGCUUCCCCGGCUGCUUGCUUUGAGGAGCAGGUUCUUUUGCCAGCGCUUAAACCGCCGCGAUUCGCUGGGUUAGAGAAGCCGGGGCGAGCGCCUCAGGGAAACCCCCCUUUCCGAGCGGCUUUCGUGGGAGGAAGAAGAGCUCCUAAAGCAGAUUUCUUCCUCGCUGCAGCUCUUAAAGCUGGUUUCUUGCUUCUAGAACGCUCCUAAAGCGCUUUCAUUCUUUAGAGCAGCCCCUAAAGCCGCUUUAGGGCCCGUUCCGGAGCUCCGGGCACGGGCUGAGGGAGCGCUCCGGAGGCUCCGCGGCGCGGAAAGGACGCGGUAGAUGCGGCAGCAGCCUGAGGGGAGAGAGAGCCCGAGGAGACGGCGGAGGGAAGAGACAGACGAGGAGGAGAUGGAGAAGAACCAGGCGAGGAAAUAGGAAGAGAAAAUAGAGGAAAGAAAGAGAAAAAAGAAAAUACAGGAAAAAAUAGAGGAAAAAAAAAGAAAAUAGAGGAAAAAUAGAGGAAAAAAUAGAAAAAGAAAAUAGAGGAAAAAAGAGAAGAAAAUAGAGGAAAAAAGAGAAAAAGAAAAUACAGGAAAAAAUAGAGGAAAAAAGAGAAGAAAAUAGAGGAAAAAGAGGCAAAAAGGAAAGAGAAAAAAAAUUAAAAAUUGAAAAAGGAAAAUAUAAAAUUGAGAAAAAAUAAGAAAAAUGAAAAAAGAAAAAUUGGAAAAAAAUUGAGGAAAAACGCUGCAAAAAAGAUAAAAGAGAAAAUAGAAAAAAAGAAAAUAAUGCCGAGAAAUUGAGAAAAAAAAUUGAGAGAAAAACUAAAAGAGAGAAAAAAUAGAAAACAGGAAAAAAAGAAAAUUCAGGAAGAAGAAAAUUGAGGAAAAUAAAUUUGGGGAAAUUGAGCCAAAAGAAAAAAUUCAAAACGUUGAGGAAAAAAUAGAAAAAAUAGAGAAGAAAAUAGGAAAAAAGGAAACCGGGAAACAGCCAAAAGGAGCGAAGCGGCGGCAGAGCCCGGCAGCGAGCGGCCGCUGGCGAGGAGCGGCGGGAGCCGCGGGGAGCGGAGCGGGGAGCCCAGGAAGCGGGAGCGGGAGGUGGAGCGAGGAGAAGCAGCGCUCGGAGCAGCGGCGCCGGCGGGACCAGAGCUAGAGCGGGGGGGGAGCCCCCCCGAGCGGCCGGAGGAAGGCGGGAAGAGCCGAGCAAUGGGGCAGCGGCGCCGGAGCCGGCAGCGCCGCGGGAGGUUUGAGGCGUUGAGGGAAGGCAAAGCCGAGAGGAGCCGGAGCUUGUGGGGCUGGAGCAGGAGCCGCAGCCGAGAAGCAGCCAAGAUGCAGGAAAACAGGAAAAAAAAACACAGGAAAAACGCAGGAAAAUGCAGGAAAAACGCAGGAAAAAGGCAGAUAAUG